UGGUGGACUUUCGGCAGCGGCACCAGACUGGAUGUUGGCAGCAUCACUCGUCCUAAAGUGAGCGUCCUGCCGCCCUCCAGUGAAGAGAUUUCCACAAAGAACACAGCAACACUGAUGUGUGUGGCCAACAAGGGCUUCCCCUCAGACUGGAGCCUGAGCUGGAAGGUGGACGGGAGCAGCAGGUCUGAGAAGAGCAGUGCUGGGGUCCUGGAGAAGGACGGUCUGUACAGCUGGAGCAGCAGUCUGACUCUCUCUCAGGAGGAGUGGAUGAAGGCGGUCACAGUGAGCUGUGAGGCCAAACAGAAAGACCAGCUGUCAGUCACUGGAGAAGUGAGGAGAGAUCAGUGUUCUGAGUAGAUCCUCUGGAUUCUCUUCUGCUCUUCUCACUCAUGUCUCACAUGGAGACUAACAGUGGCCUUCUAUUCAUACAAGUAUAUGUGUGCUUUUGUCUUUCAGUGCUCAUUCUCUCUUG